rnacentral:piRNA from 1 species
AAUAGCUGGCGAAUUGAAGAAUUACAA